rnacentral:lncRNA from 10 species
GCAGAUUUAAAAAAGGCAGGAGUUGUGUCCUAGAGAAACCUUUUCUUCCCUUGAACUUUUUCAGAAAAGCUUUCCUGCUUUGGGCCCUCAUCUCCAGAGGAAUCCAUUGUGCAAAAUGUAGAAUACGGACCUAUAGAAAUAUUGGCUUAUUAACAUGUAUUUUUCUUUGGCAUUGCCCAUGCAUGCGCUAAAUGCAGACUUUUCAUUUUUGGGAAGGGUAAGGUGAGCUAUUUAAAUUUACUUGAUUUCAGGAAAUAUCCACAGAGACAUCCUAGACCCUCAAGAACCUUGCAUCUGUGUUCAAACAGUUGAAUUUAAACAAACAGUUGUGGAAGCCGGAAGUUCAAAAUCAAGAUGUCAGCAGUGUGUGUCAGUUCCUUCUGGAGUCUCGAGGAAGGAUCCGUUGUAUGAGUCUCUCCUUCCCUCUGUGCUGCAACUCCUGAAACCUGAAGUCUGUGACUCACCAGUUCUAAGCCCCAGAGUCCUGAUGGGGCACCUCAAGGAGACACUUCAGCCACCUAAGUCAGCUGGACCACCCCAUGACACAGUCAUGGAGGUUCCAGUCUGAAUUCAGAGUCAAUGAUAAGGGAGGCUUCCGUGGCAGAGUGAAAAGCACACACCUGAGAAAUGAAAAGAAAUGGCAAAGGUCACACGUCUCAGGAUGAAUUGCACUGUGUGUGACACCCUAGCUGAAAUCCUAUCCCACAGGACCAUCAGGCAGAGUGAGUCAUCCAUUUCCCUGGGCUCCUCCGGCAUCUCAUAGAGACUUCUGUUGUGGAUUCCCCUGCUCUGUGCCACAAUGAUGUGUCGACAAGUUUGUCUCUCCCACAGCAUACACUGUGGGAUUCUUUAAAACAGAGAUGGUGUCAUGAAUUUCUGGUUUGGCAGGUUUGAAAAUAUUAUGCAGAACAUUAGUUUUUUUAAUAAAAGAAAAAUGAAUAAACAGAAGGAUAAAGCAUUAAGCUUAACCUCUAUAUAUACAGAACUCUGUAUCUGUAAAAAGAGGAUAAUAAAGAUACCCAGUUGUGGUAGAUUAAAUGAUUAACUGCAAUUCUUUACUCUUUCCUUUUGUGCCACAUGGGCAGAAGCUUGGGUGUGUUGCUCACUUUGGCAAAGAACAUGUGGGUAGACAUGAGAUGGUGCCAGUUCUAAGCCUGUACCUUAAGAAGAAUCACAGUGUCUCUUUACCUCUUUCCUUCUGCCAUUACCAUGAGAAGCAUUCUCUCUGGAUACCUGUUCGUAUUAUCCCUACAGCCUGGAAUGCAGUUUGAAGAUAUGUGCAGAAGAAAUGCCCAAGCCGACCCCGGACCUACAGUGAGAAGCAGAACAGCCCAGAGAAGCUCAGCCUAGGGCAACAGAGACAGCCUAGUCAACCUACAGAUCUGGGACAAUAAAUGCUUCUGCUUUUAAGCCACCG